AAGCAGUCAGUGAUAUUUUUCAAAAGUUAUAACUGACUUAGCGAAGUCACGUUAUUUAUUUAAUCAAGAUGGAAUUAGAAUUUAUUUUUAUAUAAUUACUUAAGUCGUGGAUUAUUUUCGACUCGGGAGUUAAUUAAAUCUACGGAUUUAAUCUAGAUUCAUAUUAAUUUUUUUAGCAUCACCAAGGCAUGAGGAUAUACUUCAUUUAUUCAUCAAUCUCAUUCUCAUACUUUACAAACUAUUACAACCAAUUUUCGUUCAUACCUUCCAAUUACACCACAAUAAUUUAGCAUUUGCAUAAAGAAGAAUAAAAAGAAAAGAAAAGAAAAGAAAAAGUGUUGCCACCAUCCUUUGUUUCCAACAUUUCCUUCCACCAUCUACCACUUUAUACCAUGCCCUUUUAUCCCCACACGUCUAUCAAUUCAUAAGUUUUCUCUCACAACCAAGAAUUUCAUCAGCUGGUUGAUCCGAACUUCCAUCGUCCAUCAGAUUAACAACAGCAACAGCGGGAUCUUUUCAUAAAAGGUUUCAUUCUUCAAUUCAAUUAAUAUGUCAAUUUCCUUAAAGCCAAAACAUUCAGGUUUUCAGUAGCUCAACUUAAGGUUCCAUCUUGUAACCUUCUCGCUGAUUUCAUUUUUACAGUAUGUUUUAAACAACCAAUUGUUCCAGUUUCAACUCACCACAUGAACAAGGCAUACACAUUCAAUAUCUCAUCAAGGCAUCUGCAUAUACAAUCAGUCAAGCGCAAGAGUAAGAACUACACAAGGAGUUAGAGUACCUUAGCAAAACUUUGCUAUCAGGUUGAGCUGUGAUGGGCGUUGAAGUGUUGUUGCUGAGUGGAGUUUUUGUCAAACUUAAAGUAGGCUCAGAAAGGAUACAUGUCUUCAUACAUGUAUCUCAGUUAUGCAUUCCGCUGUAAACACUGAUUAUUUCAGUUACGCCUUCCGUUGCAAACUCUGAUAAUGUUUUAGCCAAGCCCCUAACGAUGCCUUUUUCCUUUUUAAGGAAUAUAAAGCGUAUACAAGUUCUUUGAGUACCCUUUUUAUGCGAACUAUGCCUUUUUCCUUUUUAAGGAAUAUUUCACGCAUA